AUUCUAAACGCUGUUCUUUGAGCAGGAAAGACGCUGAAGUUACGACUCCGCUCUUUCUCGGACGUUUGAUCGAUCAACAAAUAACGGGACUGGACCACUGCUAUUUAUUUCAUGACUGUAAUUUGAAAGAGAAACAAGUGAAUAUUUUAGUGUAAACCUUACCAUUCUCUUAAUCGUCAUAGUUGAGUAUAAUAUUGUUUCUGAAAGAAUUUGACGCCUCGAAUUUGGGACGUAUGUAGUUCAUUUUCUGUGUGAUCUGAGAAGUUCAGAUAGCUGUGGUUUGAUAUAGUUUCUGCAUGAAGUAUCUUAAGAUAUCUAUGUUUUUUGUGUGUGUAUUGUAGAUAGAGCUGGUUUGAAAUGAAUGUUUCAUAGAUGUCUAUUAUUUGGAGUUAAUGCAGUUUUGUUUGUUUGCAUCUUUUUCACUGAAUUUAUCAUAGCUCAUUUGGCUUGUUCUGGAUUUGUCAUCAUGCUUUCAUGAAUUUUGAUGGUUUAGUAAAAUGCAGGGUAGAGAAAUAACAAAUAGAUCGCAUAGCGAAGUGGAUAUCGUGUUAGACUCCGGAUCUAAAGGUCGUGGGUUCGAAUCCCACUGCGAUCGAUACAAUUUUUUUUGCCAACUUUUUGACAUCUUAUAGGAUACUACUAAAUGUACUUGGCACUGUUACUACAAUGUUAUACCAAGUUCAAGUGGCAUUAUACUAUAUAUGGUCUUUAAUUGUUUA